CCUACGGGAGGCAGCAGUGGGGAAUUUUGGACAAUGGGCGCAAGCCUGAUCCAGCAAUGCCGCGUGAGUGAAGAAGGCCUUCGGGUUGUAAAGCUCUUUUGUCAGGGAAGAAACGGUGGGGGCUAAUAUCCUUUGCUAAUGACGGUACCUGAAGAAUAAGCACCGGCUAACUACGUGCCAGCAGCCGCGGUAAUACGUAGGGUGCAAGCGUUAAUCGGAAUUACUGGGCGUAAAGCGUGCGCAGGCGGUUUUGUAAGUCUGUCGUGAAAUCCCCGGGCUCAACCUGGGAAUUGCGAUGGAGACUGCAAGGCUAGAAUCUGGCAGAGGGGGGUAGAAUUCCACGUGUAGCAGUGAAAUGCGUAGAGAUGUGGAGGAACACCGAUGGCGAAGGCAGCCCCCUGGGUCAAGAUUGACGCUCAUGCACGAAAGCGUGGGGAGCAAACAGGAUUAGAUACCCUGGUAGUCCACGCCCUAAACGAUGUCUACUAGUUGUCGGGUUUUAAUUAACUUGGUAACGCAGCUAACGCGUGAAGUAGACCGCCUGGGGAGUACGGUCGCAAGAUUAAAACCUCAAAGUAGUAAGUGGACGUGAGAGAGCGACGACGACGACGACGGAGGAGGAGG
rnacentral:rRNA from 1 species